GGAUGAACGCUAGCGGCAGGCCUAAUACAUGCAAGUCGAACGGGAUUGGGGAGCUUGCUCCCCAUGAGAGUGGCGCACGGGUGCGUAACGCGUGAGCAACCUGCCCGUCCCAGGGGGAUAGCCCCUCGAAAGAGGGAUUAACACCGCAUGACGUUGGCUUACGGCAUCGUAAGGCAACCAAAUAUUCAUAGGGGACGGAUGGGCUCGCGUGGCAUUAGCUAGUUGGUGGGGUAACGGCCCACCAAGGCGACGAUGCCUAGGGGCUCUGAGAGGAGAAUCCCCCACACUGGUACUGAGACACGGACCAGACUCCUACGGGAGGCAGCAGUAAGGAAUAUUGGUCAAUGGGCGGGAGCCUGAACCAGCCAUGCCGCGUGCAGGAGGACGGCCCUACGGGUUGUAAACUGCUUUUGUACGGGAACAAACCCCUUUACGUGUAGAGGGUUGAGCGUACCGUAAGAAUAAGGAUCGGCUAACUCCGUGCCAGCAGCCGCGGUAAUACGGAGGAUCCGAGCGUUAUCCGGAUUUAUUGGGUUUAAAGGGUGCGUAGGCGGCGCGCUAAGUCAGGGGUGAAAGACGGUGGCUCAACCAUCGCAGUGCCUUUGAUACUGGCGCGCUUGAAUGCGGAUGAGGUAGGCGGAAUGUGGCAAGUAGCGGUGAAAUGCAUAGAUAUGCCACAGAACACCGAUUGCGAAGGCAGCUUACCAAGGCGCGAUUGACGCUGAUGCACGAAAGCGUGGGGAUCGAACAGGAUUAGAUACCCUGGUAGUCCACGCCCUAAACGAUGAUGACUCGAUGUUCGCGAUACACGGCGAGCGUCCAAGCGAAAGCGUUAAGUCAUCCACCUGGGGAGUACGCCCGCAAGGGUGAAACUCAAAGGAAUUGACGGGGGC
rnacentral:rRNA from 1 species